rnacentral:lncRNA from 1 species
GUCCUUUCUUCUUUCUUUCUUUUUUUUUGCAAUUUCCAAUAGGAUCAAUAGUAGGGCGAGGUGGUACGGCAACAUACUUCUGUUGCAGCGCGAAAGGACGAAGACGUGUAUAGACGAGAUGCAGAGGGCGAGCGCUGGCGAUCAUUGGAAAGGUGAAUACGGCCACACAUAGAAGGGCCCUGCGCACAAGAAAUGGAAAUGUGCGCCCUCUUUUUUCGCCUGCUUUUCAUCACAUUAGCUCUCGCCUGGUGAACGUGAAGACAAGAAACUGUAAUUGACCGCCGACAGAAAGAUCUCCUAGCAGUCCAGGGUAUCGCAAUGACACCGCGGAUGUUAUUGUUUAAAAUGUGUUCUUCAAAUGAAUGCGUCUAUAAAUGGAAAGCCCACGGAAAAUCGCAUGGUAGCGACGAUCUCGUGCGCGGCCCUGUAUGAGGAGUGCGCCAGCAUAACGUUAAAGAAAUCAAACAAUGGUAUUCAGUGCCGCAAUUUAACAGACCAGCAAUGAGGGACACCGUAGCGGCGGGGGGCCUGCGUAUAAAAUUCGACAAUCUGACGUUCUUUGACAUGCACCUAAGCUUUAGUACACGAACGUUUCCGUGUUCACUCGCAUCGUAAUACGGCCUCCGCGGCAUGGAAUCGAACCUGGGACUGGUAGUAUCGACCGGUAGCAUCACGUUUUCGAAUGAAGGAUCAAAGCUCAAGGAGGGUAGUGCUGAACAAAAUUUGAUCUCCAUAUGGCCUGAUAUGGCGUUUAACAUGACGUCUGUCGCUACUUAGUGUACCCACACCGGAACGUGUGCAUUCCCGCAUUUCGGACCCACUCCUUCUCUCAAGAAAACGCAACGGCUGUCAUCGCCACGCCGUACCCAGCUUUCUAAAAUGCGAUGUGAGCUACGCAAUGUAUGCGCAACACUUCCCAGUGUAGAACUCCCAAUCUGACACGUAGUUUUCCACCAUACGUUUGUUCCACAGUAAAUUAUGGAAUGCACAGGGCAUAGUCGUGCCUAUUCAAGGCGACGUUGUGCUCAUAUAUGGCAAGCCACGGAGUGUCGAAUAGUUAUGUUUACAGCGCAGCUUAAGGCAUCCUUUGCUGCCUCGACUGUUUGUCUUCAGCUUCUUUUUAGUUUUAUUUUUGAAUGCGCAAGAUAAAGCGACACACGUGGCCCUGUAUCGAGGACAGCAAUCGGGAGGGAAAAAGAAAAGACACGCGAUACGUAAAGAAACGCGCUUAAAACGUCCGCGCAAGCGAGUAGUAAUUGGCAAACGUCGCGACACACUCACUUAUCUCGCAUUUACGACGGGCACGAGUGUUUUAUUUUGAUUUUUCUUGCUUUUUCGUGCCUCGUGCGACUCGGUGACCCCUACCGGCUGACGGGAACGCUUUCUCUUCCGUAAUCUCGCACGUGAGAGAUAACGGACCCACCUGACCUCGCGCGCCGACGAAUUCCGAUAGAGCGCACGCAGGACAGAACACCGGCGCCGCCGGUCUCGAGAGAAGCCAGCGAACGACCAAGGGCAAACACCGGCACUUCAUUUAGAGCGCACAUCUCUCUUCGCUUGGCGUCGACUCGGCCUCCUGAUCUCCGCGAUUCCGCUGGAGCUGAGGAUACAAACAUUCCGUGGAGUUCUUGUCAACGUCGUUGCCGAUAAAACGGGAUUUAAGCAAAGCCCUGCUGAAGUGACUUUUCUCCGAGGUCAACUGGUCUUACUGAAGGUUUCGACAAAACACAGCCAUCUCACCAAAGAACACUCGAGGGCGUCCACAGCUAUAGCAGACUUCACGUCUACUAAUGGAGAUGCAACCCUCGCUUGAUCAACGACUAUGUGGCACAGCUCAGGUGACUGUCCUAGAUUCGGUCGCAGAAUACCAUGCGGUAAUGGUUUAGGGAUACUUCACAUUAUCUUCGAGCGUAAACCCAGUAAACGAGCGAGAACAUCUAGGUCAGCCGGAGUUCUCACUAAAG